UACGAAGGGGGGCUAGCGUUGUUCGGAAUCACUGGGCGUAAAGGGCGCGUAGGCGGCCUGAUAAGUCGGGGGUGAAAGCCUGUGGCUCAACCACAGAAUUGCCUUCGAUACUGUUAGGCUUGAGACCGGAAGAGGUAAGUGGAACUGCGAGUGUAGAGGUGAAAUUCGUAGAUAUUCGCAAGAACACCAGUGGCGAAGGCGGCAUCCUGGACCGAGAUUGACACUGAUGAGCGAAAGCCAGGGGAGCAAACGGGG
rnacentral:rRNA from 1 species